GUGCUUGCUUCAGCAGCACAUAUAUGAAAAUUAGAACAAUACAGAGAAAAUUAACAUGGUCCCUGAGCAAGGAUGACAGGUAAAUUCGUGAAGCAUUCCAUAUUUAA
rnacentral:snRNA from 1 species